rnacentral:piRNA from 1 species
UGGGCAAGAAGCACUGUCUGCAAGGCC